rnacentral:rRNA from 1 species
CCUACGGGGGGCAGCAGUAGGGAAUAUUGCUCAAUGGGGGAAACCCUGAAGCAGCAACGCCGCGUGGAGGAUGAAGGUUUUCGGAUCGUAAACUCCUUUUGUUAGAGAAGAUAAUGACGGUAUCUAACGAAUAAGCACUGGCCAACUCCGUGCCAGCAGCCGCGGUAAUACGGAGGGCGCAAGCGUUACUCGGAAUCACUGGGCGUAAAGAGCGCGUAGGCGGGAUAGCAAGUCAGAUGUGAAAUCCUAUGGCUUAACCAUAGAACUGCAUUUGAAACUGUUAUUCUAGAGUAUGGGAGAGGGUGGUGGAAUUCUUGGUGUAGGAGUAAAAUCCGUAGAUAUCAAGAGGAAUA